AAGCAAAAUGUGCCUACACUGUAGUGCCAAGCAGCCAUAUAAGCAAAAGCUUGAAGAAAAAAAGAAACAGCUUUCCCAAGAAUGGAAAGAGCGUCAAAAAAAAAAAAAAAAAAAAACAGCAGCAGUGUGAACAAAGUGUAUGAUGGAACCAAUCUACUGCUCCACAAAUGGCAACUUUUAGAGAGGUAUCCAGUCCUUCUCCUUGCCAGGAGAACCUCAAACGGUUUUUCUGCAGAGUGCUUCUGUCCAUGGAAGAUGGAAACAGAAGAUGCACAGGAUGCAUUUGUCACAAUAAAGAGGUUAUAUGAAAGUCUUCUGAAUGUGGCUAUUGCAGAGAAAGCAACAAGCAGAGUGGGAGAGACUCCAGCACCAAACAGCAAACAGACAGAGACUCCACCAAUACACAACACAGCAGACCCGGCAUCAGAGUCAACACCUCUGCUCCCCUGUAAUGGUAAAAUGUCUCAUUCAAUAGAACUGGCAUGAUCCUUUACAGCAAACAGUUUUGUGUCUGAAGCCCUAUAACCACCACAAUGGGCCUCUGUACUUUUAUUUUCAUUGUACAGUUGAUUAUUUUAUUUAUAAAUGUUACGUCCCGGCAGAUGUGCCUUCGCGUGUGGGUCUCUCUCUCCCUCUCUCUCGCUUCUCCCUCCCUAUCAUUUUCUCAGGUACAACCCCUUUCAACUGCUAUUGGCUAAGGAGGCUGUCAAUCAUCAUCGUCUCGAGUGACGUGAUGGCUU